rnacentral:rRNA from 1 species
CUAAGGCUCCAGAGGAAGCCACGGCUAACUCUGUGCCAGCAGCCGCGGUAAUACAGAGGCGGCAAGCGUUGUUCGGAAUUAUUGGGCGUAAAGAGCACGUAGGCGGCCUUGCAAGUCAGUUGUGAAAGCCUUCCGCUUAACGGAAGAAUGCCAGCUGAUACUACAGGGCUUGAGUACGGGAGGGGAGAGUGGAACUUCUGGUGGAGCGGUGAAAUGCGUAGAUAUCAGAAGGAACGCCGGCGGCGAAAGCGACUCUCUGGCCCGAAACUGACGCUGAGUGUGCGAGAGCUAGGGGAGCGAACGGGAUUAGAUACCCCGGUAGUCCUAGCCGUAAA